UUCUUCCAGGAGCGCGCAUGAGCGGACGCUGCCUACGGGUGGCCGGGCGGGAUGUAACCGGCUGCUGAGCUGGCAGUUCUGUGUCGCUAGGCUUCUGCCCGGCCGCCGCCGCACAUAAGCUGCGAGGAGGAGCUUUACGACUUCCCGGUCUUCGGGGCCGGGCGCAGCAAGGGCCAGACUCUGCGCUAGCAGGCGCUGCGCGCCAACCGGCCGGCACCUGUCGCAGAAGGUGCAACCGAUCGCACUGUCGCGCAGAAGCUCCUCAAUGGCCAGCGCCAGCUGCAGCCCCGGCCGCCCACUCGCCUCAUCUGAGCCUGGCUGGCAGCCUGCUAUCAAUUACAUUGAUAGUAAAUUUGAGGACUACCUAAAUGCAGAAUCGCAAGUGAACAGAUGUCAGAUGCCUGGUAACAGGGUGCAGUGUUGUUUAUACUUCAUUGCUCCUUCAGGACAUGGAGACAGAUCUCAUUAUGUUGCCCAGGGUGAUCCUUGAUCUCCUGGCCUCAAGUGAUCCUCCAACCUUGGUCUCCCAAAGUGCUGGGAUUACAGAUGUGAACUACCACACCCAGUCAACGUGCAGAAGGUUUUCAGUUUGAUGUAGUCUGAUGUAGUCUCAUGUAUUUAUCCUUGUUGUUGUUGCCUGAGCUUUUGGUGUGAUAUCCAAAAAUAUCAUUGCCAAGAUCAAUAUCAAGAAACUUUCCCCCUAUGUUUCUUACAGAAAUUUUAUGGUUUCAGAUUUUUCAUCUAUUUUGAGUAUAUUUUUGUGUAUGAUGUAAGAUAAGGGUCCAGUCUCCCCAGUGUUGGAUAUCCAAUUUUCAUAACACCAUUUAUUGAAGAGAUUAUUCUUUCUCCACUGUGUUUUCUUGAUGUCCUUGUCAAAAAUUAGUUGACUUUUAUAUGCUUGGGUUUAUUUCUGGGCUCUAUUCUGUUUCAUUGCUUUACAUCUCUGUUUUCAUGCCAGUGCCACAGUGUUUUGAUUACUAUAGCUUUGUAAUAUAAUUUGAAAUCAGAAUGUGUAAUACCUAUAACUUUGUUUUUUGCUCUAAAGAUUUAUUUAUUUAUUUAUUUAUUUUUGCCAUUUCAGGUCUUUUGUGGUUUCAUAUGAAUUUCAGAAUUGUUUUUCCUAUUUCUGUGAAAAAUGCCAUUGACAUUUUGAUAGGGAUUGUGUUGAAUCUAUAUAUUGCUUUGGAUAGUAUGGAUGUUUUAACACUAUUAAUUCUCCCAAUCCAUGAACAUGAAAUAUCUUUCCAUUCACUUGUGUCUUCUUCAAUUUCUUUCAUCAAUGUUUUAUAGUUUUCAUUGUGCAGAUCUUUCACUUACCUGGUUAAAUUUAUUCCUACAAUUUCAUUCUUUUUGAUAUUAGGGUAAAUUGAAUUAUUUUCUUGAUUUCUAUAAAUUAUUUAUUAUCAUACUCAUACUUGUCAGGCCUCUGGGCCCAAGCCUGCAUGUAUACAUCCAGAUGGCCUGAAAUAACUGAAGAAUCACAAAAGAAGUGAAAAUGGCCAGUUCCUGCCUUAACUGGUGACAUUACCUUGUGAAAUUCCUUCUCCUGGCUCAGAAGCUCCCCCGCUGAGCACCUUGUGACCCCCGUCCCUGCCCACCAGAGAACAACCCCCUUUGACUGUAAUUGUCCACUACCCACCCAAAUCCUAUAAAACAGCCCCACCCCUGUCUCCCUUCACUGACUCCUUUUUCAGACUCAGCCUGCCUGCACCCAGGUGAAAUAAACAGCCUUGUUGCUCAC
rnacentral:lncRNA from 1 species